rnacentral:rRNA from 1 species
UGCGCAGGCGGCCAAGUGUGUGAGGCGUGAAAGCCCGGAGCUUAACUCCGGAAUUGCACCUCAAACUACAUGGCUAGAGCAUUGGAGAGGGUAGCAGAAUUCACGGUGUAGCAGUGAAAUGCGUAGAUAUCGUGAGGAAUACCAGAGGCGAAGGCGGCUACCUGGACAAUUGCUGACGCUCAGGCACGAAAGCGUGGGGAGCAAAAG